CACUUAGUUAAGUCAUUCCCACCAUGCAAGUUCGGGUAGGGGUUCAAGAACAACCUCACAAUGAUAUGAUAUUGAUCAUUCUCGUUGCCUACGUCUCACAUCAUCAAGUAUGCAUAUAGACUCCUCCUGAGUAUAAGCAUGCACUUUGCACUCCCCCAUGAUAGGGUGAAGGCGGUGUAAAAGUCAUAAACGAUUGGAGCCUACCACGGUGGAAGGCCACGAAAGAGUGUUCAAAGCACUCUCACGCUUGUCAACUUAAUAAUGGUUUGGUUGAGGGUUUUAGGUCUCAUCAUAUAUAAACAUACAUUUUAAUCUUAUUAAAACAAUUUUGGUCCUAUUACAACUAUUGGUCCAUUUGAUUGUUUUAGUUGUAUAUAAUACUCCCACUAUGCUUAUAAAACGGUUUUUAAAGCAAGAGUAUAUGAUACUACUAACAUAAGGUUUGCAUUCAUUGAUGGACUAUAUAGUUACCUUAGGGCCUUAGGAUGACUAUGAACCUUUGUUUAGAUUCAACACGAGCCUAGUGUUGAAUCUCGGUCUAGGGAUGGUGAUUGAUUUUAGUUACGCGUUUAAUCACAUUAAGGCGUGUUGUUCCUAGGGGCGUUGGACCCAACUACUCCAAUUUCAUGCAUAUCAAAUAAAACAAGAAAAGGAGUACUUUAAAGUAAAGAAGAGCUUAUGCUCUUUUACAACAUUUGAUCAAAUCAAAUUACAACCAAAAUCUAAUCUACACAUUCCCAUGGUUCAAAUUUGAAACGGCCUUUCACAUAGCUCAAUUAUAUUAGGCAUAGGUUCAUAAUCACCCUUUCUUUAAUCAAUUAACGCUUUAACCAAUUAAAUUUGAAUGCAACAUUUUCAUUUGGUUUUUGUAUCCAUAGAAUUGAUUUAAAUGGAGCUAAAUGAAAUGAA
rnacentral:lncRNA from 1 species